rnacentral:rRNA from 1 species
UGCGUAGGUGGUCCGUUAAGUUCGUUGUGAAAGCCCUGGGCUCAACCCAGGAACUGCUUCGAAUACUGGCGGACUUGAGGCCGGUAUGGGUCACUGGAACUGACGGUGGAGCGGUGAAAUGCGUAGAUAUCGCCAGGAACGCCAAUGGUGAAGACAGGUGACUGGGCCGGAUCUGACACUGAGGCACGAAAGCGUGGGGAGCGAACGGGAUUAGAUACCCCGGUAGUCCACGCCCUAAACGAUGCAGACUAGACUGCAGCGGGUUACACCCCGUUGCGGUCGGAGCGAAAUUGUUAAGUCUGCCACCUGGGAAGUACGGUCGCAAGGCUAAA